UGCAAGUCGAACGCGGUUUCCUCGCAAGGGGAAACUGAGUGGCGAACGGGUGAGUAACGCGUGGGUGACCUACCUUCGAGUGGGGGAUAACGUCCCGAAAGGGACGCUAAUACCGCAUGACAUCCUGCCUUUGAAUAGGUGGAGAUCAAAGCCGGGGAUCGCAAGACCCGGCGCUUGAUGAGGGGCCCGCGUCCGAUUAGCUAGUUGGUGGGGUAAUGGCUCACCAAGGCAACGAUCGGUAUCCGGCCUGAGAGGGCGGACGGACACACUGGGACUGAGACACGGCCCAGACUCCUACGGGAGGCAGCAGUGGGGAAUUGUUCACAAUGGGCGCAAGCCUGAUGACGCAAUGCCGCGUGGAGGAUGAAGGUCUUCGGAUUGUAAACUCCUGUUGCCAGGGACGAAUGGCUCCGACCUAAUACGUCGGAGUAUGACGGUACCUGGUGAGGAAGCCCCGGCUAACUCUGUGCCAGCAGCCGCGGUAAUACAGAGGGGGCAAGCGUUGUUCGGAAUUACUGGGCGUAAAGGGCGCGUAGGCGGCCUUCUAAGUCGAACGUGAAAUCCCCGGGCUCAACCCGGGAACUGCGUCCGAUACUGGGAGGCUUGAAUCCGGGAGAGGGAUGUGGAAUUCCAGGUGUAGCGGUGAAAUGCGUAGAUAUCUGGAGGAACACCGGUGGCGAAGGCGGCAUCCUGGACCGGUAUUGACGCUGAGGCGCGAAAGCUAGGGGAGCAAACGGGAUUAGAUACCCCGGUAGUCCUAGCCCUAAACGAUGAAUGCUUGGUGUGGCGGGUAUCGAUCCCUGCCGUGCCGAAGCUAACGCAUUAAGCAUUCCGCCUGGGGAGUACGGUCGCAAGGCUG
rnacentral:rRNA from 1 species